GGGGCCUGGGCGUGGCGUACGGCAGCGGACUGUAAAUCCGUCGGCGUGUGCCUACCAAGGUUCGAAUCCUUGAUGCGCCA
rnacentral:tRNA from 1 species